GUGCUCGCUUCGGCAGCACAUAUACUGAAAUUGGAACGAUACAGAGAAGAUUAGCAUGGCCCCUACACAACGAUGACUCCAAAGUUCGUGAAGCGUUAUGUAUUUUU